rnacentral:rRNA from 1 species
UACAGAGGGUGCAAGCGUUGUUCGGAAUUAUUGGGCGUAAAGCGCGCGUAGGCGGCUUUGUAAGUCAGAGGUGAAAGCCUGGAGCUCAACUCCAGAACUGCCCUUUGAAACUGCAUCGCUAGAAUCAUGGAGAGGUUAGUGGAAUUCCGAGUGUAGAGGUGAAAUGCGUAGAUAUCAGGAGGAACACCGGCGGUGUAGACGCUUCUGGACCGUAGCUGACGCUGAGACACGAAAGCGUGGGUAGCAAACAGG